UCUCCGCGUCGAGGCCGCCAAGCCGGUCG
rnacentral:sRNA from 1 species